rnacentral:rRNA from 1 species
GACGGAGGGUGCAAGCGUUGUUCGGAUUCACUGGGCGUAAAGGGUGCGCAGGUGGGUUUGCAAGUUUGAUGUGAAAGCCCCGGGCUUAACCCGGGAAUGGCAUUGAAUACUGCAGAUCUGGAGGAUUGGAGGGGGGACUGGAAUUCUUGGUGUAGCAGUGAAAUGCGUAGAUAUCAAGAGGAACACCAGUGGCGAAGGCGAGUCCCUGGACAAUACCUGACACUGAGGCACGAAAGCCAAGGGAGCAAACAGG